rnacentral:rRNA from 1 species
AACUGUAACUGUACCACCUGCAGUUCAGGCUCGGUGAUCCACCUGAAGCUCCGCAGGUUUGGGCCUGGCCAGUACUUGCGUGGGAGACCAACUAGGAAAGCUGGGUUGCUGCUG